rnacentral:rRNA from 1 species
GCUUGUCUCAAAGAUUAAGCCAUGCAUGUCUAAGUAUAAAUAGUAUACAGUGAAACUGCGAAUGGCUCAUUAAAACAGUUAUAGUUUAUUUGAUAAUUGAAAAUUACAUGGAUAACCGUGGUAAUUCUAGAGCUAAUACAUGCUAUCAAGCCCGACUUCUUGAAGGGUUGUAUUUAUUAGACUUAAGCCAAUAUUCCUUGUGUCUAUUGCGAUGAUUCAUAAUAACUGAUCGAAUCGCAUAGCUUUAAUGCUGGCGAUGGGUCAUUCAAAUUUCUGCCCUAUCAACUUUCGACGGUAGGAUAGAGGCCUACUGUGGUGAUAACGGGUAACGAAGAAUAAGGGUUCGAUUUCGGAGAGGGAGCCUGAGAAACGGCUACCACAUCCAAGGAAGGCAGCAGG